rnacentral:rRNA from 1 species
AGUCUGGUGCCAGCAGCCGCGGUAAUUCCAGCUCCAAUAGCGUAUAUUAAAGUUGUUGCGGUUAAAAAGCUCGUAGUUGGAUCUCGGUUUCACUCAGGCGGUACACCUUGCGGUGUUCACUGUCUGGGCGGACGUUUCUGUUGGUUCGCUGUUGGUUCUCUUAAUCGAGUGCCAAUUGGUGGCCAGCACGUUUACUUUGAAAAAAUUGGAGUGCUCAAAGCAGGCGUUACAGCCUUAACAUUAGUGCAUGGAAUAAUGGAAUAGGAUCUCGAUUCUAUUUCGUUGGCUUUCGGAGUCGAGGUAAUGAUUAAUAGGGACAGACGGGGGCAUUCGUACUGCGACGUUAGAGGUGAAAUUCUUGGAUCGUCGCAAGACGAACUACUGCGAAAGCAUUUGCCAAGAAUGUUUUCAUUAAUCAAGAACGAAAGUUAGAGGUUCGAAGGCGAUCAGAUACCGCCCUAGUUCUAACCAUAAACGAUGCCAACCGGCGAUCCGUCGUCGUUAAUUGAAUGACUCGACGGGCAGCCUCCGGGAAACCAGAGUGUUUGGGUUCCGGGGGAAGUAUGGUUGCAAAGCUGAAACUUAAAGGAAUUGACGGAAGGGCACCACCAGGAGUAGCCUGCGGCUUAAUUUGACCCAACACGGGAAAUCUCACCAGGCCCGGACACCGGAAGGAUUGACAGAUUGAGAGCUCUUUCUUGAUUCGGUGGGUGGUGGUGCAUGGCCGUUCUUAGUUGGUGGAGCGAUUUGUCUGGUUAAUUCCGAUAACGAACGAGACUCUGGCCUACUAACUAGAAGGGUCGUUCUUUACGAGCGGCCCUCUGCUUCUUAGAGGGACGGGCGGCGUUUAGCCGCACGAGAAUGAGCAAUAACAGGUCUGUGAUGCCCUUAGAUGUUCUGGGCUGCACGCGCGCUACACUGAAGGAAUCAGCAUGUUCUCCCCUCCCUGAAAAGGGCGGGUAACCCGUUGAAACUCCUUCGUGAUGGGGAUUGGAGAUUGUAAUUAUUCUCCAUGAACGAGGAAUUCCCAGUAGGCGCGAGUCAUCAGCUUGCGUCGAUUACGUCCCUGCCCUUUGUACACACCGCCCGUCGCUACUACCGAUCUAGUGAUUUAGUGAGGACUUCGGACUGGUCUCCAAGUUGGCUUCGGUCAGCUCGGAGUUCCGGAAAGAUGCCCAAACUUGAUCACUUAGAGGAAGUAAAAGUCGUA